UACGUAGGGUGCAAGCGUUGUCCGGAAUUAUUGGGCGUAAAGAGCUCGUAGGCGGUGUGUCGCGUCUGCUGUGAAAACUCAGGGCUCAACUCUGAGCUUGCAGUGGGUACGGGCACACUUGAGUGCUGUAGGGGAGACUGGAAUUCCUGGUGUAGCGGUGAAAUGCGCAGAUAUCAGGAGGAACACCGGUGGCGAAGGCGGGUCUCUGGGCAGUUACUGACGCUGAGGAGCGAAAGCAUGGGGAGCGAACGG
rnacentral:rRNA from 1 species